rnacentral:rRNA from 1 species
AAACCAGCACCUCAAGUGGUCAGGAGGAUUAUUGGGCCUAAAGCAUCCGUAGCCUGCUCUAUAAGUUUCCGGAUAAAUUCAUUAGCUCAACUAAUGGCCUGCCGGAAAUACUGCAGAGCUAGGAAGUGGGAGAGGUAGACGGUACUCGGUAGGAAGGGGUAAAAUCCUUUGAUCUAUUGAUGACCACCUGUGGCGAAGGCGGUCUACCAGAACACGUUCGACGGUGAGGGAUGAAAGCUGGGGGAGCAAACCGGAUUAGAAACCCGAGUAGUCC